UCCUGACUGACCGAUAGUGAACCAGUACCGUGAGGGAAAGGCGAAAAGAACCCCGGCGAGGGGAGUGAAAAAGAACCUGAAACCGUGUACGUACAAGCAGUGGGAGCACGCUUAGGCGUGUGACUGCGUACCUUUUGUAUAAUGGGUCAGCGACUUAUAUUCUGUAGCAAGGUUAACCGAAUAGGGGAGCCGAAGGGAAACCGAGUCUUAACUGGGCGUUAAGUUGCAGGGUAUAGACCCGAAACCCGGUGAUCUAGCCAUGGGCAGGUUGAAGGUUGGGUAACACUAACUGGAGGACCGAACCGACUAAUGUUGAAAAAUUAGCGGAUGACUUGUGGCUGGGGGUGAAAGGCCAAUCAAACCGGGAGAUAGCUGGUUCUCCCCGAAAGCUAUUUAGGUAGCGCCUCGUGAAUUCAUCUCCGGGGGUAGAGCACUGUUUCGGCAAGGGGGUCAUCCCGACUUACCAACCCGAUGCAAACUGCGAAUACCGGAGAAUGUUAUCACGGGAGACACACGGCGGGUGCUAACGUCCGUCGUGAAGAGGGAAACAACCCAGACCGCCAGCUAAGGUCCCAAAG
rnacentral:rRNA from 1 species